CGUAAUCGUUGCGCCGAUUUGAGGAUCAGCUUGCGGGCGCGUUAAAAAUUCGGCUAAAGCGGCGAGGUUUCUCCGACC
rnacentral:ncRNA from 2 species